AAAGAUCUAAGGUUCAUCUUUGUCACAGAAACACCUCCAUGGGAUCCUAUUUGUCACAAAAAGAUAUACUGAUCCUUAUUACAAUAAUCAUACUGGAAGACAGGCAGAAAGAUUUCAUAAUCUAGAAUAACUACAAGUUGGCCGAGUCUAUGUCCUUUGAGUGCCAAAAGUUACAUAUAAAGUUUCAUUAGCCCGACUGCCUAAGCAUGGGCAGAACCAAGACCGCAACAAUGGACAGGCUACAACUACACAAGGUAUUACAGGAGACUAAGAAAAUUUGAGAGCAGAAGAAAAAGUCUCCCUAAGGAAAGUGGGUACCAAAUAGUUACAAUUGAAUGACACACGAGAAGUGUAAGGACAAAGCAUUUCAGAUACGACUUAGCAGAUAUACGUGAUGCCUAUGAAGCUCAGAGACAGAUCUCUUGGGGAUCAAGUUCCAGAAUGAUGAGGUCCACCAUGACUGGAAAUACAUUCCAGCACACAGGAAAGCUGUGGUUGUAGAAACUGGUGCUGCAUGAUCACAUGUAAUCUACAUGUAAGAAUGAAAGAGUGAACAAUCACUAGGACCAGGAUUGAGAGCUUCAAUAUACAUACAGGGUUGGGUCCAAUAUCACAAACCUUCUACUCAAUACAAUUUUACCUGAUUGAUGGGAAAUCCCUGUUGCUGAAGACAACAUUUACAUACCAAAUUAAACAUGGAGAAGUUGAACUGAUGCCUAACCAGACCCUUGAGUCCUCUUAUUGAGAGUUCAUGUUACUGGAAGAUUCUUUGCAUUCUACCAUGGAAGAAAGGUACAACAGGACUUAUUUUGAUUCAAACUCAUGGAGAUUGUGACAGCAUGCAAAGGGCUUGUCAGAAGAUGUUCCAAGGGUACGAGUGCCAAGUGGACAUAAAUUUACAUACAUAACCAAGAGGCUAUGUCCCAUUACAAUACUUACAAAGGAAAUAAUGAUAAUCUUCAGUUGUCUCAAUCUAAAUAUUAACCAUACUCAAGAGUAACCAUCCCAUGGCCUUCUGAAGCUAGCCAACACAAAAUAAAACCAAAGAGAUAGGAACC